AACGUAGGUUCCGAGCGUUAUCCGGAUUUACUGGGCGUAAAGCGUGUUCAGGCGGCUUAGCAAGUCGGGCAUGAAAUCUCUCGGCUCAACCGGGAGGGGCUGUCCGAUACUGCUGGGCUUGAGGGCAGUAGAGGGUGGUGGAAUUCCGGGUGUAGUGGUGAAAUGCGUAGAUAUCCGGAGGAACACCAGUGGCGAAAGCGGCCACCUGGACUGUACCUGACGCUCAAACACGAAAGCUAGGGGAGCGAACGGG
rnacentral:rRNA from 1 species